ACUGUCCUUGUCAUGGGUUGCGAGCUUGUCCAAGGAACGAAAAGUGAGGGCAAGACUGCUGACAACAUGAUUACGUAAUUACGCACCGCGUUGCUUAAUUGGAACGUGUGGGUGCAAUUUUUGGAACU